UAUGAUAUGACAGAACUGUGGGGACACGUGCAGAGAGCGGAAGCCGGGAAUGGGAUCCCGGUGCAAGCGAGGUACCAGAUGCGUUGGAAAAACCGCGCAUCAAUGGGAAGACGUGAUGCGGAGUGAAGUUUAGUAAUGAAGUCCGUGAGCUGUGCGUCAAGAAAAGCCGCUAUUGUUCAUACCAUACCCGUACCGUAAACCGACACAGGUGGAUGAGGAGAGAAUCCUAAGGCCGGCGGAAGAAGCAUUGUCGAGGAACUCGGCAAAAUGACCCCGUAACUUCGGGAGAAGGGGUGCCACUGAGAAGUGGCCGCAGAGAAUAGGCUCAAGCAACUGUUUAGCAAAAACACAGGUCUAUGCGAAACCGUAAGGUGAGGUAUAUGGGCUGACGCCUGCCCGGUGCUGGAAGGUUAAGAGGAGAGGUUAGCGGAAACGCGAAGCUUUGAAUUUAAGCCCCAGUAAACGGCGGCCGUAACGAUAACGGUCCUAAGGUAGCGAGAUUCCUUGUCGGGUAAGUUCCGACCCGCACGAAAGGCGUAAUGAUUUGAGCGCUGUCUCGACAAUGCAUCCGGUGAAAUUGAAGUACCAGUGAAGAUGCUGGUUACCUGCGCCAGGACGGAAAGACCCCAUGGAGCUUUACUCCAGUUUGGUACUGGGAUCCGGUACUGCAUGUACAGGAUAGGUGGGAGGCUAUGAAAUGGUAACGCCAGUUGCCAUGGAGCCGCUGUUGGGAUACCACCCUUGCAGUAUUGGGUUUCUAACCAGCCGCCGUGACCCGGCGGUGGGACGAUGCCAGACGGGGAGUUUGACUGGGGCGGUCGCCUCCGAAAGGGUAUCGGAGGCGCCCAAAGGUUCCCUCAGGAUGGACGGAAACCAUCCAAAGAGUGCAAAGGCAGAAGGGAGCUUGACUGCGACACCGACGGGUGGAGCAGGUACGAAAGUAGGGCUUAGUGAUCCGGUGGUAUUAAGUGGGAAUGCCAUCGCUCAACGGAUAAAAGCUACCCUUGGGAUAACAGGCUUAUCACUCCCAAGAGUUCACAUCGACGGAGUGGUUUGGCACCUCGAUGUCGGCUCAUCGCAUCCUGGGGCUGUAGUAGGUCCCAAGGGUUGGGCUGUUCGCCCAUUAAAGCGGUACGCGAGCUGGGUUCAGAACGUCGUGAGACAGUUCGGUCCCUAUCCGGCGUGGGCGUAGGAUAUCUGAGAGGAGCUGUCCUUAGUACGAGAGGACCGGGAUGGACGGGCCGCUGGUGCACCGGUUAGACUGCCAAGUCUAUAGCCGGGUAGCCAAGCCCGGAAGGGAUAAACGCUGAAGGCAUCUAAGCGUGAAGCCCCCCUCAAGAUGAGAUAUCCCAUCCGAAAGGAGUAAACCCCCUUGAAGACGACGAGGUUGAUAGGGCAGGGGUGGAAGUGUGGUAACACAUGGAGCUGACUGCUACUAAUAGGGUGAGGGCUUGACCU
rnacentral:rRNA from 1 species